AAAGCUUAAGAUAUCAUAUUAUUAACAAUAUAUUGUUAAAUUUUUUAAACUAGAUUUUUUCUGGAAAAAUCAAAUAUAUCAAAAUUUGGUUUUUUCGAUAAAAUUGUUCUACAACAUUCCGUUUUAUCCCCAUAUUGAAGUGUUACAAAAUUGAUUGAAUGGUUCAAAACUGAAGCGAGAAAAUAUUCAAUGCAUCAAUUAUUAACUGUUUGCCAUUCGAUGUAUUCGUUGUAAACGUUCAAAAAAGAAUUUGCCUCGAAAUCUGAAAAAAAAAAAUCGAAUCUCUUCUUUUUCCAUCCAUUUAUUUUUUAUCUUUGUUUGCAUGAUUCAUAUUAAAAUAAAUUGCAUCCUAUUAUUACGAGUUAUGUAAUAUUUUCAUAGAUUACGAAGAAUUUAUCUUGCCUUGCAAGCAGUCAAUCGAAGAGAACCAAGUUUAAAUAAAUCGUAUACUCGAUACAAUGCAAUAGCAUACAAUUUUGAACAUACAAAGUAUCAUUUUAAUGAUGCAUAAAUUUUCAAAAUGAAUCGUAUUAAUAUUUUUUUAAUCAAAAUUUAUGAAUCGAGUAUCAAAUAUUCACGUAUAACAUUAAUUAAACAUUUCGCAUUGUUCUUCCAUUCUUGCCUCAAUAAAAUCAGGAAAUAAAAUCGCUCAUUUUUUUUUUUUCUCGAAAUAUUUUAUAAAACGAAAUGUUUUAAAUGCACUCCCACUUCUCUCUCUCUUUCUCUCUCUUCAACAAUUCUAUCUCCACGAACAGCUGUCCAUCAUUUAAAGUGGCAUUAACAAAAUCAACGAAUAAUAUAUUACAUCCCAACAUUAUUAAACAAUUUAUAGCAGUUUUAUUCCUGACAAUUUCGACAAGCAGCGAGUAAGUUACUAUAGGCAUAAAUCAACCCCUUAAACAUUCGACCAUGAAAUUUUGUAAGCCGUGCCAGAGUCAACGUGUGUCAAAACCUUCUGGGAAAUAUGUAUAUAUAUAUAUGUACAUAUAAAGGCGAAACUAAAAUAGCAGAACUUUGAACCAAGUUUAUGCAAUAUUUUUCAUCACGAAGCGGUUUUCGCCCAAAAUGGAGUCAACCAAGGUAGAAUUUGCAGGUGUCCAGCAAAUUGUGUUCAUAAAAGUAAUAUAGGAUUUCAUGUUUACGAUGGCAAAUUUGUCAAGUAUUCCAAAAAAAUGGAAACGUUUGUUCUUCCUACUUUGGCUACUUUUAAAUUUAAAUUUUUUUUGUGAUAAACUAAUAUUAGAUUGUUUGAAACGUUUCAUAGGAAAAUUUAAUAAAAAUUUCGAAAUUAUAUUAUAUAUUUGCUAUUUUUAGCGAUAUAUAUAUAUAUAUAUAUUCAAGUGAAAAGUUUCUCUGAGGAUCUCUGAAAUAUUAAAUUUCUCGUUACAAGCUUUUUUAAAUAAAUGUAUUUUUUUUUUCUUAAGACUUAUCUUGUCCAAAGACAUCUUUUCUUUGUCCAAAGACAAUAAUUCAAUGAUUUCCUUUAUCUUAUAAAAAUAAUACUUUUUGCAAUCAUAUUUUGCAAUUCCCUCCAAACAAACAUAGAUAAUUUACAAAAAAAUUAAAUUGAUCGUCACAAACGUCUACGAAACGUUUCAAAUAACCUAAACCAUCACUCUGUUGUGAAUAAAAUUAUUUUUGCCAACAAUAUCUAUGAACGUGAUUCUGCUAUAUUAAUUUCUAAACGGAGUAACGAAUAUAUCAUCAGUAAUAUCUGUUCACCAACCACACUUUAUAGCAAUCAACGGUGAAAUAUUGCGACCAACCUGUCACCCAACGACACCCGAUAAAAAAUAUUAUCUCCCAUUAAUCAACCAUUCAUCAUUCUUACACGUUAUCGAAGAAGAAAAAUUUAUUCCUGAAUAUGGUCGAAGAAAACUUACUCUUUAUAUAUAAUAACGUGUAUCAUCAUAAUCGUCGUAUCGACGAGUUUGCACCGUCUAAUUACUAUACACUCGUCGAGGACAUCGGUUUGCUCUUGUGCAAAAUGUAAAAUAUGUAUAUAUAUAUAUAUAAUACGUGUACACACCUUAUUAUAUUCUAACUUAAUAACGCGUAUGUAUGUACAGAUAAUAAAUCUACCAGCAGUAAGGAACCACUUCAUUUGUUAUAUAGAAAUAGAAAUUUUCUCGCACACGAGAGGUGUGAGACACGUUUAAAAAUAAUGAGAAGUACAUAAUGCGGAUACUUCACACCGUGACGGUGGGAAACACUUGGUGAAUCGGAAGGGGUUGGAAACGCAUCAUCAAUCCUUCGUUUCAAGUACGAAAAUUUCCACGUCGAUCGUACGUGAAAACACGCCACGAAAGAUGGUGUCGUUAACGAGACAGGGACUAUAAAUAAAACUUUCGAGCCGAUCGAAAUGUUAAAAUACACUUGGACAGAUUCAGCUGUAAUCUUCGAUGAGUUAGAGCGCAAGGUGGCCAACGCAGUUCACGAAUUUUUUUCACGGAUUAUUGACGGACAUUGUCUCUAAUUACAUCUCUUAAUUACCUGUUAAAUAUUGCGAGAAAAUGUUUCGUUUUUAUUUUUAUACGAUUCGUAUAUUGAUUAAAGUGAUUAAUAAAUCAAAUUAAGAUUAUUUUUUCUUUAAAUGCUGACAGAUAUAGACAGUACAGUCGGAUUUUCUAUUUAUAUUCGUAAUUAAUUAUUUUGAUAUUAUCAUGAGUCGUGGGUUCAAAGAUCUGAGGUCAAAGUUCAAAUGUAGAUGAAGAAGAAAAGAGAAACAAUGAUAGAGGAAAGAUAUUAAGCAAAUUCUUGGAAUUGUUCAUAAUUUUGAUUUUGAAAAAAAUGUGUGUGUAACAUUGAUUGAAUUGAAGAAAGGGAAAAAUAGAUAAAUUGAUCUAUGAAUUUCGAUUCGUAAUUUUAGCUAAUUGGAAUUAAUAAAAUCGAAUUAAUUACAGAUAGGAAACGGCAUAAAAUUUUUCUCUGCGUCCUUUUCAAAUUAUGCCUCGUCUCAUAAAUCGUCGCCGUGAUGACAAGUUGCACACUUGAAUGAAAAGGAAUCCGCCGUUUCGUUGCGAUUAUACACUCGUUGCGAAAUUCAUUUCCUUUGUAACCAAGUGGAAGAAUUGGUACAAGUCGGGGCAGAACAUUGCGUGGCCUUGGGGCGUUGUAUUUUCAGGACUCAACCUAGUUGAGUAUAAUUUCCCUUUUUGCGUUACGGCGGUAAACACGUGACAAACCGUUGAAAUUGCAAGGAAAUUUAAUUUGUCAUCUUCGAAUAAAAAUCCGAAUAAAAUUCGAAGAAUUAAAAAAUUAUACGAAAAAUAUCGAAAGAAAUCAUUUCUUGGGCAGAGAAUCGAACAGACGAACGUUAAUAAAAGACUUAAAGUAAAAAUUCUUAACAUCUUUUCAUUGUUCGAUCGAGGAGGACGAUUAUCUUUUAAUGUCUAAUAAAUGUCAUACAUAGAAAACGUGACUCAAAAGUUUAUUGAACACGUUUAUAAAACGUUUAUUUUCUCUCUUUAUUAUCGAGAGGAAGGGCUAUCGAUGAAAGUAUCUUCAUUUCUUAAGGAAAAAAAAAAAAAGAAGAAGAAGAAAUAAUUCCAUCAGCUCCGUCGAUAAAUAUUUUCUCGUCCACACGCGCGCGUAUUAAAUUUUCUUCUCCUUCGAUACGAUUUAAUUCGAUUCAAGAUGUACGUGAAUCAUCGUAUACAAAUAUUAUGCAAAAAACCUAGAGAAGAUAAUGCAAAUUCGCGCGAUAACACGGUGGGGAAGUGGGGAGAGCCAUCUGACGCCCAUCAAACAGAUAACAGGCGUAACCUUCCAAUCUCUUCAACCUCUUCGAGCUUGACUUCCGUUUUUUCAUUUUACGAUCAUCGCGGAAAUCGAGAACCGCUCGUUAUCAAAUUAAAUCGGCGGACGUAAUAAAUCACGUGUUCCUCGUGGAGAAUAAAAUAUACGUGUCGCGAUAAAUUAUUAGUCAAGCGUCCCAAGUUUCCACUCCUCGAGCCAUCUACCUGGCUCGCAACGUCGUACAACAUUACACUUCUCGUGUAGAAACCCGAUACCCUCCGCUUUCCAGUGCAAUGAUACACUGUGCGAUCCGCGAACGUUUUAUAACAGAGUCAGCGUAAUGAAACGACAGCGGUAACAGACAGAAAAUACAGACGCUUUGAUCAUUUACUGCCUUUCUUAACGCGUUGUCUAAAAUUUUUAUUUUUAUCAACGUGAGUUGAUGGAAUUCCACGCACCUUUAUUUAUUCCUACUCAAAGAUAGUGAAGAAAAUGAGAAAAACAUGAGAUCCCUCGAAUAUUUUGAAAAUUUUAAACAGGAUAUAUUAUAAUUAAAGAUCAAUCUUUCGAUUUAAGUUCAUUAUUGCUUAACUUCAUUAUUUAGAAAAGAUAAUUAACGCAUCAAUCGACAAAGUAUUCAACAUUAUUCAAUACUCUUAAAAUAUCGAUAUAUUUGAAAUAUUUUUAGAAACGACGUUUAUCUCGAAAUUGCUCUAUAAAUAAUCGUACUUACUUGCAUACAAACGUUUGCCUGAACAGAACCAUUUCUUACUACUGUUCUCUUUUCGGGAAUUGGAUACCAAUUCGAUAAAUUUCUUCUCGAAUAACAUAGAGGAACUAUCGAUCGAAAAACCAAUUUUCUUAAGGAUUAAUCUCUAUUUUUAUCCUAAAUAAUUUAAAGAUAAAAAUAACCACCAGUCUCUAAACAGAAAUCAUCGUGAAUAAUUGCUUAUAGUUUAGAAUUCGAUUCCACUUUAUUAUAUGCAUAACCAAAAACACACGAGGUAACGAGUUUAUAAUCAUUUCUUUCGUGACACGAAGACACGAAGAGCCACUUGCCCAAUUCUGUAAAUGCUUCUUUGUGCUUUUAGAGCAUCGUUGGACGAUGUAUCGUUGCGGUAACAUUAUAAUUGUUCGUGCACACCGGGAGUGGAGUACGAAUUUAGACGCAGCAACAAUCUAUAGAUGAGCCAAGGUCGUGCCGUUGGCUUUUUCACACAGAGCCACUCCUCUCGGCCGCCAUUCUAUUUCGAGGAUUUUCUAAAAUUUAUCGUCCAGCACCGCGCGCAGUCAUCAUUAUACCCGCUCUAAUACACUGGCGCCAUCAAUUUGAAGCUGUGGCACAAUGUUUGUACAUGUGUAUAUAUAUAUAUAUAUAUAUAUAUGUGUGUGUAUACAUAUAUACACAUUCUCGGAUCGACCACGGUUGCAACAUUAAACGGUGUAAAUUUGUCCACUAUAUAAGAAUGUACCAAGCAAUUUGCGAUCGUUCGAACAAGUGCCAAUAACAGAGCUUUAAUAAACGUGCGUGAUAUUUCAUCCUACGUUUCAUUUUUACAGGUAAUUCUCCGAGAAAGGAAAUUUAUUUUGCCAUUUGCUCUUGAGGAAUUUUUUCGAUGGGAAAAUCGAUCUGAAAAUAUCUCUCGCGAUUGAAGAUAUUUAUAAGAAGUGAAGAAUGUUUUUCAUUUGUCUUAAAAAGGGAAAAAAUGUUUCUUCAGCAUUGCGGAUAGUUUUUCAUCGCAUAAUAUCAGGACGAAUGCCAGAAUUUUCACAUACGUUAAAAAAGAACUGCAAUGGCGGUGAAACGUUAAAAAACUUCCAACGCUCUUCUUUGGACACGACGAAAGAUCUCAUCUCAGAAUUAAUUUACGAUGGUCAAUUUUGAAUCAAGGUAUCCUGAUGUUCAAUCAUAAUCCCAAUAUAGACCACGAAAAGUCAAGAUUUAGCAUCCGGUAUCAAUGACAACCGCAAUGUUAUAACGAUAUUAGCACGAUUAUUAUUGAUCAUUCAUAAAUCACACGAAUGGAUAUUCAGCAUAAAAAAGUAAAUUGGAUGUGUGACACGGUGGAAGGACUGUUUCGUCCCUGCCCUGACACCUGAGAUUCUCCACUCACUGUGAUAAUGAGAUUUUUGUUACAAGCAACAGCUCAUAUGCCACUGAUAGACCAAAGGUAAUGAUUAUAAUUACAUUCUAUGAAUUUUUGUAUCUUUUUACAUAUACGAUUACAAUUACAAUAGUACCCGCUUUAUUCAGAACCACGUACGGAUGUUUUAUCUGAAGAAGAUUUCUAAAAAUUUGAUUGAAGAGGGGAAAGAAAAAAUAGAUACGAGAGAAUAAUGGAUUCAAAUACGUGAUAUAAACAUAAUAUUCUUUGAGAAGAAACUUCUCAAGUUUCCAGAAUUAAUGGCAAGCUCUAAAGUGAGUACUAUUGAAUAACUCGUAUAAUAACAGUAGUACUCGAUAAAAUUAAGAUAUGUUAAUGUAAGAAUUCCCUAAAGCUAAGUAACAAUGAGAAUGUCGAGAUGAAGAAAAAUGAAUUCAUCUAUUGAGAAAUAUUAUUAAACCGCGUUAUUAAACCGAAACCAUUUAUCAAGAUCAUCGUUUUCUUUUCAAAUAAAGAUCCGAGGAAAAUCCAGAUGAAAAAUCAACAAUGAUUAGUUUCGACAGCCUUAAAAUUACAUUCAUAUUAUAAACGAUAGUUUCUUCUUGAGAACGAGAUUUUCACUUUGGGAAAUUUAAAAAAAAAAAAUUACUAAAAAAAUUAAAAGAAAAUUACUAAGAAUCUAAUAUAUAUCCAAUGAAUUAUACUCAAGUAAAAUUCUUUCUUAUGAUACAAAGAUAGAUCUAGUAUCUUUAAAUUUAGGAUUCAAUAAAUAGUUUUUCAAAAGAGUUAUUGCUCAAAUUAAAAAAUCCAUAUUUGUGAUAUACAAUCUGUUAUAAUAUAAAACAUUUUUUAUUAUAUGUAUGGACUUUUUAGAAGUUUUUCGUGAAUAUAACCAAUCGAAGAGCUUCAAGAUUUAUGCUAUAAGAAUUAAUCAAUCUUUAAGUCUCAAGAUUAAAGAGAAAAUUUUAUUAUCUUAAUUAUUAAUUAUCCUGAAUUUUUCUCGUGUUGUCUCGUUUGAUCUAAAAAUAAUAAUCAUUUUACAUAAUGCGUGCACUAAUUACAAACGCCAAAAUUGGAAUCAAUGCAAAGGAUGCAAAAAAAAUACAAAGGAAAUUGAGCAUCUCGGGGUUAAUCAAAGUCCUUCUCCUAAAUUAAAACACCUUGACCUCAUAAACGAGAUCUCCAUCAGAUUUCUCCCAACGCCUAAAGAAAAACUGAUCGAAACUGAGGGAAAUCUAUAUCGAAUUGAUAUCAAAUUGAGAAAUUAGAAUAUUCUGUACAUAUAAAUCGAGUCCUAACUUAAACAAUUAUCGUUUUUCUUUUUAAAAUUAGAUUGAUUGUAACGUUGACACGUAAAUCAACGAAAAAUCUUGUUGAAACAAAAUUGCACGAACGAAUUCGUAGUACGAAUUUCAAUGUGAAUCAUAAAUACGUGCGCCAUGGUGUGAAGUACAGCUUUCGAGAUGGGUCUCGAUGAAUCAUUUUCAUUUGCAUUGAGCAACAUGUCCUCGAAACAUUUAAGUACAUCGAACUAACAGCCAUGUGCGGGAAUAUGAUUACCAGACAUUCAUGAUUUCGUUCGUUAACCUAUUACAAAGUUUCCGAUCGAACAACCUUCGAUCAUUUUAUAUCUGAGAAAGCUCGUGUAACGAAAUUCAUUGCUCGAAUCAUUGAACCGUCGGAUGGUUGGAAACUUGAGUCAUUUUUCACAUUGAACGAUGGAUAUAUAUAUAUAUAUGCACGAUUAUCCUUGGACAUAUUUUAACCCCUUAAUUACAAUGCUUCGUUAAGAAUAUAAUAAAGACACGUGGUAUUAUAAUUAAUUAAUUAUUUUCGUCAUUGUAAUUUCUAUGGAUUCGAAAAUUACGAUAUUUUUAGAUUGCAGAUUUUUAGUGAAGCUAAAAAUAAAUUUGGAUAUUCAAUUAAUAUAUAUAUAUAUACGUAGAAAAUAUAUCGUGUUGUUCAA